rnacentral:rRNA from 3 species
GAGUCCUGAAGGAACGUUGAAGACGACGACGUUGAUAGGCCGGGUGUGUAAGCGCAGCGAUGCGUUGAGCUAACCGGUACUAAUGAACCGUGAGGCUUAACCUUACAACGCCGAAG